AUCCAACUAAAGAGUCCCAAAUAGGACGAAACGCUCAUCCUGGAU
rnacentral:hammerhead_ribozyme from 1 species